rnacentral:rRNA from 1 species
AUUGAACGCUGGCGGCAGGCCUAACACAUGCAAGUCGAGCGGAGCGGCGGACGGGUGAGUAAUGCCUAGGAAUCUGCCUGGUAGUGGGGGAUAACGUCCGGAAACGGUCGCUACUCCCGCAUCCUAUCAGCUGAGCCUAGGUCGGAUUAGCUAGUUGGUGGGGUAAAGGCCUACCAAGGCGACGAUCCGUAACUGGUCUGAGAGGAUGAUCAGUCACAAUGGAACUGGGACACGGUCAAGAAUCCUACGGGAGGCAGCAAUGGGGAAUCUGCCGCAAUGGACGAAAGUCUGACGGAGCAACGCCGCGUGAGUGAUGACGGCCUUCGGGUUGUAAAGCUAUGUUAAUCGGGAGACGGUACCGGAAUAGAAAGCCACGGCUAACUACGUGCCAGCAGCCGCGGUAAUAC